GCUGCAGCAGCAGCGGCGGCGGCGGCGGCGGCGGCGGCGGCGGCGGCGGCCGGGGAG
rnacentral:miRNA from 14 species